AGCGAACGCUGGCGGCGUGCCUAACACAUGCAAGUCGAACGUGAAAAGGGGCAACCCUGAGUAAAGUGGCGUACGGGUGAGUAACGCGUAGGUAAUCUACCAAAAAGCCUGGAAUAACCUGCCGAAAGGCGGGCUAAUACCAGAUAGAGCGAUGGGAUCCGUAAUCGGAUCUUUCGGGAAAGGGAGCUCGUAAGGGCCCUCACUUUUUGAUGAGCCUGCGUCUCAUUAGCUAGUUGGUGGGGUAACGGCCCACCAAGGCUUUGAUGGGUAGCUGGUCUGAGAGGAUGAUCAGCCACACUGGAACUGAAACACGGUCCAGACUCCUACGGGAGGCAGCAGUGGGGAAUCUUGCGCAAUGGACGAAAGUCUGACGCAGCCACGCCGCGUGAGUGAAGAAGGCC
rnacentral:rRNA from 1 species